GUGUAUGUUCUUUGGUUGGUGUGUGUUCUUUGGUUGGUGUGUGUUCUUUAGUUGAUGUAUGUUUUUUAGUUGGUGUAUGUUUUUUGGUUGGUGUAUGUUCUUUAGUUGGUGUAUGUUUUUUGGGUUGGUGUAUGUUUUUUGGUUGGUGUAUGUUCUUUGGUGGGUGUAUGUUCUUUGGUUGGUGUAUGUUCUUUGGUUGGUGUAUGUUCUUUGGUUGGUGUAAUAUUUUCAGGAAUAGAAGGAGCAUUAGUUGUUUCAAAUGGUUUAGUGGUUGUUGAAACUCCUGCAAAGAUGCAGCGUUUGGUGUCUGUUGUUUGGUGGGUGUAUGUUCUUUAGUUGGUGUAUGUUUUUUGGUUGUUGUUUCAAAUGAUGUAGUGGUUGUUGAAACUUCUGCAAAAGAUGCAGCGUUUGGUGAAUGUUGUUUGGUGGGUGUAUGUUUUUUGGUGGGUGUAUGUUUUUUGGUUGUUGUAUGUUCUUUGGUUGGUGUAUGUUUUUUGGUGGGUGUAUGUUCUUUAGUUGGUGUAUGUUUUGAGGUUGCUGUAGAUGUAGUACUUUUUGGUUUAGUAGUAGUUCUAGGAGUAGAAGUUGUUUCUGAAGUUGGAAUACUUGAUGUUUCAUGUGUUUCACCGACACAGAUGGAGUUUUGAUUUGACAUCAUUCUUGGAGAUGGCCUGUAAGUUUCAAGGUUAUUGCCAGGUUUUCCCAAUUCCGUCGAAGAAUCAUUCGUGUGACUCUCUCUUUUGGUCAGAUGUUUAGCUUGAUUUUUGGCACAGAACACCUUUCCCAUGUACAGUUUAUCCAAUGUAUCAAUAUACUGAAGCAAAAGCACAGACUGAUGCUGCAGAGAAGACAAAAUGAAAAUGUACAUUAAUCACAGCAUGAUGACACAUUAAUCUAGGAUUUUAAAUAUAAUCACCUGACCCAAAUCUGUCCAAACACUGAAACAGAACUGGC
ensembl:lncRNA